rnacentral:rRNA from 1 species
UGCGGGGGGAGCAAGCGUUGUUCGGAUUUACUGGGCGUAAAGCGUGUGUAGGCGGAUCGGUAAGUACCUUGUGAAAUCCCACAGCUUAACUGUGGAACUGCUUGGUAUACUGCCAGUCUUGAGCCAGCUAGGGGCUACCGGAACAAAUGGUGGAGCGGUGAAAUGCGUAGAUAUCAUUUGGAACGCCAAUGGUGAAAACAGGUAGCUGGGGCUGUGCUGACGCUGAGACACGAAAGCCAGGGGAGCAAACGGG